rnacentral:rRNA from 1 species
CAAGAGCGUAUAUUAAAGUUGCUGCGGUUAAAAAGCUCGUAGUUGGAUUUCAGUCUAGGAAGGUUAACUCGCCGAAAGGUUGUACGUUGAUUUUCCUCAGACUUCGUCAGAAGCUCGUGCUGCACUUAACUGUGUGGUACGAUGUUCUGACCUUUUACCUUGAGGAAAGUAGAGUGUUUCAGGCAGGCUACCCAGCUUGAAUACAUUAGCAUGGAAUAAUGAAAUGGAUCUCGGUUCGAUUUCGUUGGUUCUAGAGCUGGGGUGAUGAUCAAUAGGAACGGGCGAAGGUAUUCGUACUUGAGAGUGAGGAGUGAAAUCCGAUGAUCUCUUAAAGACGAUCCGAGGCGAAAGCAUUUGUCAAGGAUGUUUUCAUUGA